CCUUCCCAUUCCGAACAGGACAGUUAAGGUCUAUAGCGCCGAUGGUACUGCAUGGGAGACUGUGUGGAAGAGUAGGACGCCGCCAGGU
rnacentral:rRNA from 1 species